rnacentral:ncRNA from 1 species
AUUCAAGAAACUAGGAUAAGAACAGACUUAUUUUUGUUUUGGCCAUGUUUUUAGAUGUCCCUUAAGGUAAGAAUUCAACUUUACUAAAAUACUGAUGUUCUGUAUGUAUUAAAGCGUAUUAUGUUUCCAAAAAAUGUUUUGUCAUCUUGAAUAGUGUAAUAUUAGAGUAAAAACCAGUAGGACCUCACCCUCAUGUCCGUAUUAUGUGGUGACUUUAUAACUUUAAGCAGAUUGUACAAGUUCAUCCUAGCAACGGCAUCUGCCUUAAUGACUGUCGAUGGUAGGUUAUGUGCCUACCAUGGUAACCAAAGUAAUAACGGGUGACAGGGAAUAUAGGUUUAAUUCCAAAGCCUGAGAGAAACAAGCUACUACAUCCAGUGAAGGCAACAGUUACAUAAAUUAGCCACUCCCAGAAUGGGGAGAUAGUGACAAAAAAUAACAAUACAGGACUCUUUUGAGACCCCCUAAUUGGAAUGAGUCCACUCUAAAUGCUUUAACAAUAAUCAAUUGGAAGGCAAGUAUAGUGCUAGCAGCAGGGGAAAUUCCAGCUCCAGUAGCGUAUAUUAAACUUGUUGUGGUUAAAAAGCUCAUAAUUGGAUUUCAGUUCCGAACAAGUGGUCUGCCUAGUGGUGGUUACUGCCUCUUCUGAACAACCAGCCUGUUUCCUUUGCUGAUCUUCACCGCCUGCCUUGGGUGACUGUCAUGUUUAUUUUGAAAAUAUUAGCGUGCUCAAAACAGGUGUGAUGCCUGAAUAAUGGAAGAAGACCUCUGUUCUAUUUUGUUGGUGUUUGGAAAUCGAAAUUUAUAUUUUUUUAUAUUUUAUCAACUAAGUAAUGUGUUCA